UAUAAUAAAACUGUGCUCGAGGGGAAGGAAUGUGGAUGGAUGACUGUUUCUCCAAAACUGCACCAUUGCACUCCACCCUAGGCAACAGAGUGAGACUCUGUCUCAAAAAUAAAUAAAUAAAAAAUACACAAACUAGAGGUAAAAAAAUACUCUAUUAAAUGUUUUUCCUGGCAAGCGUCCAAUGCUACAGAUUCAAUCUCUUUCAAGGCAGAAACUCCUUCUUAUUCAUUUUUGUAUCCCUACACCCGAGCACACCUUAGACUGACCAAUGGUCCAGACUUGCCCACAACUGUUUGAGCUUUUGCGCUGAAAGACCUGCAGCCCAGCAAACCCCUUGGUCUCAGGCAAACCUACAUACUCCUGAACAGCUAUUGAAAAUGUGAAAAAAAAUCACUGAAUAAAAGAAUAAACAACGCAUAUGGAAUUAAAUAAGAUUACUAGAAAAAGUCAAACCUUUUGACCUUUGUUGCUUUAAAAAAAAAAUCACAUAAUGAUAAAAUAAACAAAACAAGUUGCCAUUGCUUUUAAACUAAGGGGAUGCCAAAAGCUCUGGACUGAAGUUGAGGAAGUAGCUCCAUGAUCAUUUAUUAGCAGAGACAA
rnacentral:lncRNA from 1 species